UACGAAGGGGGCUAGCGUUGCUCGGAAUUACUGGGCGUAAAGGGAGCGUAGGCGGACAUUUAAGUCAGGGGUGAAAUCCCAGAGCUCAACUCUGGAACUGCCUUUGAUACUGGGUGUCUUGAGUGUGAGAGAGAUAUGUGGAACUCCGAGUGUAGAGGUGAAAUUCGUAGAUAUUCGGAAGAACACCAGUGGCGAAGGCGACAUACUGGCUCAUUACUGACGCUGAGGCUCGAAAGCGUGGGGAGCAAACAGG
rnacentral:rRNA from 1 species